CAAUAGCGUAUAUUAAAGUUGUUGCAGUUAAAAAGCUCGUAGUUGGAUUUGUGGCGUACGGUGUGUUCCGGGCACUUGUUGUCUGAGUAACCUGCUGUUGCCAUCCUUGGGUGGAACCUGUGUGGCAUUAGGUUGUCGUGCAGGGGAUGCCCAUCAUUUACUGUGAAAAAAUUAGAGUGUUCAAAGCAGGCUUAUGCCGUUGAAUAUAUUAGCAUGGAAUAGUGAGAUAGGACUUUUUUGCUAUUUUGUUGGUUUGCGCAAAGAGGUAAUGAUUAAUAGGGACAGUUGGGGAUAUUCGUAUUCCAUUGUCAGAGGUGAAAUUCUUGGAUUUUUGGAAGACGAACUACUGCGAAAGCAUUUACCAAGGAUGUUUUCAUUAA
rnacentral:rRNA from 1 species